rnacentral:rRNA from 1 species
GUAGGGAAUAUUGGGCAAUGGAUGCAAGUCUGACCCAGCCAUCCCGCGUGCCGGAAGAAGGCCCUCAGGGUUGUAAACGGCUUUUGACGGUGAAGAAUCGACAGGAUGCGUCCUGUUUUGACGGUAGCCGUUGAAUAAGCACCGGCUAACUCCGUGCCAGCAGCCGCGGUAAUACGGAGGGUGCGAGCGUUGUCCGGAUGUAUUGGGUUUAAAGGGUGCGUAGGCUGGAAGGUCAGUCAGCGGUGAAAAGCUGUCGCUUAACGAUAGUCUUGCCGCAGAUACUUCCUUUCUUGGAUGAGGAGGAGGCCACUGGAACGGAUGGUGUAGCGGUGAAAUGCAUAGAUAUCAUCCAGAACACCGAUUGCGAAGGCAGGUGGCUGUACCUUAAUCGACGCUGAUGCACGAAAGCAUGGGGAGCAAACAGGAUUAGAAACCCUUGUAGUCC